GAGAAAAGUUGCAAGGAUAAUUGGAUUAGUUUACUAGCAUUAUGAGAGAAAAUGCCCCAAAUUUUCCAUGUAAGAAUCAGAAGAUCACAUUCACACUCACAGCAUGACUCUGUUUCAGCAGACAGCAAAAUCUGACAAGAUGCCUGUAAUUGCUUUUUGGGCUGAACAACAUGAAAAAAGAAGAAGGGGUUUAACCACUAUUUAUUCUUUCGGAGAUGCAGGAUUUUUUAACAAAAUUUUGAACUACCUAGCCCAAAAUAUACUAAUAACAAGAGCUUCUAGACCUCCCCUAUACCACCUUAUACCCAUUAAUUACAAUACACAAAAGUAUUGGACCCCCCAUCUCACUCUCAACAAUUGAAUCGGUACGUUUCCCUUGCUAUCAACUUACAAGAUGGACAGUGUGUGUCUCCUAUUCUAUUCCUACUAGUAGAAAUGGAACAACAAAUCAAAUUGUACAUCUAAGGAUUUUUUUUCAUUCUGAUAUGCAGUCACCCUCUUGGCUUCUUGCUCCAGAGUUGAUAGCUCAUUCAAGUGAACCUUUCAACUUAACUGAUUAAAAUAUUGAAGGCUGCACAAGAACUAAAGAGUCUCCUAAACUAGUAACCUAAGACCAAAAACUGCAGCGAUUGUAAUCUUUUAGUGGUAUUUUAAUAUAUAUUUCUUUCAUUUCCAGUCCAUCCAAGCCCAAGCUUUGUUUCUUGGAAAGUGACAUUCUUCAUUAUCAAGCUAUCUGGUUUAGUCUAUACCCGAGCAAUUGGAGAAAAAGGAGGGUUGAGCACAUAAGACUGCUGAAUCUCUUCCAUCUUCUUGGAGGCUUUCUUCUUUUCCUCCUCUGUGACUGCUUCGAUUACGAACUCCAUUUCCUCUUCGAAAAGGACUUUCAGUGAAUUGCAAUGCGGCAACUGCUUGCUUUUUUCCUCCCCAAUAUCAUUGGACGCUUCAGUACCAUGCAAUACAGCAACACAAAUGGAAAAUGCUUGUAACGCAGAUAGCUGUGCAUGGAAAUCAACUGCAUAUUGCGCCGCUUCAACAACUCUCAUUGUCAAUGCUGGAAUUUUCUGUUUCGUUCCCUAUACAGAAUUCAGAAUCUGGUUACAACUAAUGAAAGACUAUCAACAAUAAAACUUGAUUGGCGGCCCUUGCACUAAAGUAGCAAACAGAACUGCCAACCCUUUCUUGCACAAUAUGAGGGCCAUUAUCUAAAUGAUCUAAUUGAUAUUUGAAGAGUUUCCAAAUCUAAAUGUGUAGAUGUGCUCUAAUUUCACAAAUUCCAAGUAGUUAAAGGAGAUUAUUUUGGUUGGCUUCAAUAGUUCACAAGAGAAUGCUUACUGAAUAUAGAUAGAUCUGAUCAUCUGAAUUACUAAUAAAUACAACCAAACUUUCUGGUGAUUUCUUAUCAAUGACCAUAGUUACAUGACACUCCCGGAGACAAAAAUGCUGACUUACAAGAAUAACAGAAGAAUUAUUAUGAACUUCCAGAACACGGUUACUGUAGAGGCACUGCAUCAUAUACUUCUUUAUCCAAAGGCACUAAAAUUGUAAUCUUCUUCGACAACAAGCAGUAAAAGAAAACCAUACAUGUUGCAGGAAGGAGAAUCCUAUUUCACCAAUUUCAGGUCAUGUUUAUCUGUGAGAUCUAUUGGCUGGAAUCCUUUCUGCAUUUGAAAUCUGAGUUUCUUAAAUUAUCUUUAUCUAAGCCUUUAAUUGUCAAAUCUACAUUUAUUGAAGAUAUGGUCAUAAUCAGGUUCCAAUCAAAAAGCUUACCUGAACAAAAAGUUCCAAAGGCUGUUGAUAGUCCAUGAGUGGUUCAUCUUCAGCACAUCUGAUACCAGGACUGCCAAAAACAGUUAGCGGACAGCCCAUAUCCCAUCCACCACAGUCACAGCCUCCACCUUUUCUCCAUCUAUCAAGCAAAGAAGAAGGGCCCCAGCUUUCAUCAAUUGGAUAACUAUGGUUUCCAGUUGGAAUUACGACAUUCAACUUGUCUGGACUUUCUCUGUCUAUGAAGUCUUUUCUCCUUUGCUCAAACAUAGAAUGGUUUAGUAGAUUUGAAUGCAGUUUAUCACUACUCUUACCCCUCCUUUUGUAUUUCAGGCUUUCUCUCUUUGCAAAUGGGAGUUGAAUGACAAUAGCUGCAAUUUCAAGGUCUGAAUGUAAAACUGCAGAUGGCAAUGGAUAAGGAUUUGAAGAAUCAAAGUUGCUGAUAUCAGAAGCACGCUUUGUUUGAUGUUUUAGUUUCAUUGCAUCUGAGCCAUUGUCCAACUCAUAAGUUCCACCACCAUAGCCUGAUUUAGAACAACUGGGAGGUUUACCAAUAUCAAGGGAAUCUUGUGAAGAAACACUUUGUCUUGCAUGGGCUAUGUCAUACAGUACAAAUUCUGUAACCAUAGAGUUGUCAAAUAUGCCACCAUUUUUUAGUUCUGAGCAUAAAUAGCAGGAAACUUGCAUUUGCCCCACCAAGGACUCCUUGCUACCAUCGGUCAAACUCCAGCCACUUCUCUUCUUUCUACUGCAAGUUGAAUGAAAUGUGUACACCCAAUUAACAGCAUUAUUUGCCUUCCAUGUCUUGGCCACAAAAACUUCUUCAGGGCUAUCCAAUGAGAACUCGAAAUAUGGCACCCCAUGUUUAUUUUCCAACUUGAGACAACCGUGCAGGUGAACUGGUGAACAUGCCGCAGUUGAUUGAUGGGGAUCUUUCUGGACAAGCGGAGAAUCUACAUCUGAUUUCCCAACUGUAUUUGCAAAGUCAUGCAACAAAGAUUUCCUCAUAAUCUGAUUCUUUCUCACAUUUGAUAUCCCUGUAGUCUUGUCAUCACCAAAUUCCGCCAUAUAACCCAAAGGACUCCCUAAAGACUUGGAUUUUAGAAAUGGAUCAAACAUCUUUUUGAUGGGACUAAACCGGGACUUUGAGCUGGCCCUAGAAGAGCAAUUGCUUUGUGAAGGAGAAGGUGAAUGGUUCGUUUCUACCUUUGCAGAAAGCGAUUUAUGGAAUGUCAGAGCCAUAUCUUCUUCAAGAAGGUCAUUAGCAUCAUUUAGAGGACCAACAACCUGCUCACAUCUGAAAGUUGGAUUCUCACUUGAAUCACUUCUUACAGUUCCAGCAGAUUGUUUUUCCCUCCUAUCCAAAUUUGGACAGAUUUCAAUGAAGCCAUCUGAUGAGCAAGGUUCUAUGCUAGACUUCCUAACAGAUGUUGGAUUCAAGUUUGAUUUCACUGACAAAACAGGAGAUCUCUUAUGUGUUUGCUCUUCAUCUGAACAACACAAAGAGUCCACAAUGCUAAAGGAAAGAGUAGUGUCACUGUCACGCGACAAUUCAAUUUUUCUCCUUCCCUUGUUAACUCCCGUUUUCUUCAUUUUCCUUACCUCUCUGGAGCUUUGAUAAAUGGAACCUCGCUUCAACUCAACAUUUCCUUCUAGAACGACAGGUCUAGAUGGAGUCUUACAGGAGGAACUAUGGUAACGAUGAAAAACAAUCUCUGUGAAGCCUUCUUUUACUGUCAACAAAUCAUCUUUAUGUGUAAGUUUGCUGUUAGUGCUUUUCUUUUCAACAUCUGAGAAAUGUCGACAUGGAAGAACAGUGUUAGGACUCAGAUCUGAAUAGCAGCUCUUCUCAAAAUCCAACUCCAUAUCUAGCCCCAUUGGUAGAUACACAACACCCACUAGAUCUCACAGAAGUAAAUUCAAAGAAAAACCCAACAAACUGCAGGUAGCUGCCAUCAUGUCCAUCAAUCUCUUCCGCUCAAAGUCUCUUAUGAAGCUAUGAAUCUUUUUAAAGGGAAAGCAAAAAAGAGGGUGAGUGAAGAUAGUGAACUCUCUCUCUCUCCCCAGCAUUAGAAAGAGCUGCAAUGAGAGACAUUGAUAGGACUGCUAAGCUUCUGUUCAUGUCUAGUAAGUUAAAAAGCCAUCUUGCAGCCAUGGCAUGCAGCUAACACUAUAAGAGUUUAGCAAUUUUGCUUAUUCACCUCUGGACAAUGAUAUGAUGAGCAGUUUCAGAUGGGUGCACCCAUUGUGAAAAGACAUUAAUACCCAUGUAAAACAGCGGUCACUAUGCUUUGAGAGGGGACUUUAGCGAGAAGGCCAUAUUUUGCAGAUUUAAA
rnacentral:misc_RNA from 1 species